AUUGAACGCUGGCGGCAGGCCUAACACAUGCAAGUCGAGCGGAUGAAGGGAGCUUGCUCCUGGAUUCAGCGGCGGACGGGUGAGUAAUGCCUAGGAAUCUGCCUGGUAGUGGGGGGUAACGUCCGGAAACGGGCGCUAAUACCGCAUACGUCCUGAGGGAGAAAGUGGGGGAUCUUCGGACCUCACGCUAUCAGAUGAGCCUAGGUCGGAUUAGCUAGUUGGUGGGGUAAAGGCCUACCAAGGCGACGAUCCGUAACUGGUCUGAGAGGAUGAUCAGUCACACUGGAACUGAGACACGGUCCAGACUCCUACGGGAGGCAGCAGUGGGGAAUAUUGGACAAUGGGCGAAAGCCUGAUCCAGCCACGCCGCGUGUGUGAAGAAGGUCUUCGGAUUGUAAAGCACUUUAAGUUGGGAGGAAGGGCAGUAAGUUAAUACCUUGCUGUUUUGACGUUACCAACAGAAUAAGCACCGGCUAACUUCGUG
rnacentral:rRNA from 1 species